AUUUUUAACCUUAUUCGAACAUGCAUUUUCCUUGUAUUUAGAUACCCAAGCGCUUUUGUUACCUGGGGUCUUCAAGCUUCACAUCCAGACUCAUUUGACGGGUACAAGUUGCUCAGAUUGGGCAGUUUGGAUAUUUCACUUUACUGUUCAGAACAGGUUAAAAUUACACUUAUAACGUGUUUGUUUUAUAUUAUUGUGUACAUGUGUGACCACAUUUAUUGGCU